rnacentral:rRNA from 1 species
AGAGUUUGAUCAUGGCUCAGGACGAACGCUGGCGGCGUGCUUAAUGCAUGCAAGUCGAACGAAGACCCCUCUCCGGGUAACCGGCGAGGGACUCUUAGUGGCGAACGGGUGAGUAACACGUGAGAAACCUGCCCCGGAGAUCGGGAUAGCCCAGGGAAACCUGGAUUAAUACCGAAUACCCUCGUAUGACCGCAUGGUCGAUCGAGGAAAUGGUCCGCCGCUCCGGGAUGGUCUCGCGUCCUAUCAGCUAGUUGGUGAGGUAAUGGCUCACCAAGGCAUCGACGGGUAGCUGGUCUGAGAGGACGAUCAGCCACACUGGGACUGAGACACGGCCCAGACUCCUACGGGAGGCAGCAGCAGGGAAUUUUGCACAAUGGGCGCAAGCCUGAUGCAGCGACGCCGCGUGGGGGAUGAAUGCCUUCGGGUUGUAAACCCCUUUCAGGAGGGACGAAGCGAAAGUGACGGUACCUCCAGAAGAAGCCCCGGCCAACUACGUGCCAGCAGCCGCGGUAAUACGUAGGGGGCGAGCGUUGUCCGGAUUUAUUGGGCGUAAAGAGCUCGUAGGCGGUUCAACAAGUCGGCCGUGAAAGCCUGAGGCUCAACCUCAGGACGCCGGUCGAAACUGUUGUGACUAGGGUUCGGUAGAGGAGAGUGGAAUUCCCGGUGUAGCGGUGAAAUGCGCAGAUAUCGGGAGGAACACCAGUAGCGAAGGCGGCUCUCUGGGCCGAUACCGACGCUGAGGAGCGAAAGCUAGGGGAGCAAACAGGAUUAGAUACCCUGGUAGUCCUAGCUGUAAACGUUGGGCACUAGGUGUGGCGGAUUCAUUGACAUCUGCCGUGCCGUAGCUAACGCAUUAAGUGCCCCGCCUGGGGAGUACGGUCGCAAGGCUAAAACUCAAAGGAAUUGACGG